GCUUACGGCCAUACCAGCCUGGGUACGCCCGAUCUCGUCUGAUCUCGGAAGCUAAGCAGGCUCGUGCCUGGUUAGUACUUGGAUGGGAGACCGCCUGGGAAAACCAGGUGCUGUAAGCA
rnacentral:rRNA from 1 species